rnacentral:rRNA from 1 species
GGGGGAUAUUGCGCAAUGGGGGAAACCCUGACGCAGCAACGCCGCGUGAAGGAUGAAGGUUUUCGGAUUGUAAACUUCUUUUAUUUAGGACGAAGAAUGACGGUACUAAAUGAAUAAGCUCCGGCUAACUACGUGCCAGCAGCCGCGGUAAUACGUAGGGAGCAAGCGUUAUCCGGAUUUACUGGGUGUAAAGGGUGCGUAGGCGGCUUGGUAAGUCAGAUGUGAAAUGUAUGGGCUCAACCCAUGCACUGCAUUUGAAACUAUUGAGCUUGAGUGAAGUAGAGGUAGGCGGAAUUCCCUGUGUAGCGGUGAAAUGCGUAGAGAUAGGGAGGAACACCAGUGGCGAAGGCGGCCUACUGGGCUUUAACUGACGCUGAGGCACGAAAGCGUGGGUAGCAAACAGGAUUAGAUACCCUGGUAGUCCACGCUGUAAACGAUGAUUACUAGGUGUGGGGGGUCUGACCCCUUCCGUGCCGGAGUUAACACAAUAAGUAAUCCACCUGGGGAGUACGACCGCAAGGUUGAAACUCAAAGGAAUUGACGGGGGCCCGCACAAGCAGUGGAGUAUGUGGUUUAAUUCGAAGCAACGCGAAGAACCUUACCAGGUCUUGACAUCGAGUGACGAAUCUAGAGAUAGAUUUUUCCUUCGGGACACAAAGACAGGUGGUGCAUGGUUGUCGUCAGCUCGUGUCGUGAGAUGUUGGGUUAAGUCCCGCAACGAGCGCAACCCUUAUUGCCAGUUACUACGCAAGAGGACUCUGGCGAGACUGCCGUUGACAAAACGGAGGAAGGUGGGGAUGACGUCAAAUCAUCAUGCCCUUUAUGACCUGGGCUACACACGUACUACAAUGGCGUUUAACAAAGAGAAGCAAGACCGCGAGGUGGAGCAAAACUCAAAAACAACGUCUCAGUUCAGAUUGCAGGCUGCAACUCGCCUGCAUGAAGUCGGAAUUGCUAGUAAUCGCGGAUCAGCAUGCCGCGGUGAAUACGUUCCCG